rnacentral:rRNA from 1 species
UACGGAGGAUCCAAGCGUUAUCCGGAUUUAUUGGGUUUAAAGGGUGCAUAGGUGGUUCUUUAAGUCAGGGGUGAAAGACGGCAGCUUAACUGUCGCAGUGCCUUUGAUACUGAAGAACUUGAAUGAACUAGAGGUAGGCGGAAUGUGACAAGUAGCGGUGAAAUGCAUAGAUAUGUCACAGAACACCAAUUGCGAAGGCAGCUUACUAUGGUUUGAUUGACACUGAGGCACGAAAGCGUGGGGAUCAAACAGG